GAGGAUUGGUCCCAUCAACUAGUCAGUUAGUACAACUACUGUGUGGAUCUGAAAGUAUGGAUAUAAUUUUUUGAUCGAGAUCACUAGUGCAUAAACCAUCUUUUCAAGUUUUGAGUACCUAAUUUCUGCAUCAUGCAAGACCCUACUGGUGUAGUAAACUAGCUUUUGUAAUAUCCCUUCUUGUCGGAUGAACACCAAGCUAAUCACCA
rnacentral:lncRNA from 1 species